UACGUAGGGUGCAAGCGUUAAUCGGAAUACUGGGCGUAAAGCGUGCGCAGGCGGUUAUGUAAGACAGUUGUGAAAUCCCCGGGCUCAACCUGGGAACUGCAUCUGUGACUGCAUAGCUAGAGUACGGUAGAGGGGGAUGGAAUUCCGCGUGUAGCAGUGAAAUGCGUAGAUAUGCGGAGGAACACCGAUGGCGAAGGCAAUCCCCUGGACCUGUACUGACGCUCAUGCACG
rnacentral:rRNA from 1 species